AUGGCUCACCAGGAUCGCGUACACCUGCCGAAAACAAUCACAAUACUCUGCUUUAAAUAGCAGUACUGGGUCACGGCGGAGUGACAGGCCGGUAAUGGGUUAAGAAGAAACAUUUCUCUGCUGUUCAGGACUGUCCUAGAUGCCCGCACAGACAUGAUGUGUUUCUCAUGUAUGUGGAUCCCCAUGAGGACCAUCUGUCAGCGCAUGAAGGUGAGAAGACUGAUGAAGGUGAUCUUGAAGCGUUAGUUCACCUAAAAAUGACAAUUCUGUUAUUAAAGGGAUAGUUCACCCAAAAAUUUAAAUGUACUGUUAAUUUACUCACCUAUCAAAGAUGUACAUGCCUUUUGUUCUUCAGCAGAACAUUAUAGAAGUUAUUUAGCUGAAUCUGUGGUGAUUGGUGAUUUACAGUGCAUCCAGAAAGUAUUCAUAGCACUUCACUUCUUCAACAUUUUUUUUAAUG